rnacentral:rRNA from 1 species
UUAUUGGAGAGUUUGAUCCUGGCUCAGGACGAACGCUGGCGGCGUGCCUAAUACAUGCAAGUCGAGCGAAUCUGAGGGAGCUUGCUCCCAAAGAUUAGCGGCGGACGGGUGAGUAACACGUGGGCAACCUGCCUGUAAGACUGGGAUAACUUCGGGAAACCGGAGCUAAUACCGGAUAAUCCUUUUCUACUCAUGUAGAAAAGCUGAAAGAUGGCUUCGGCUAUCACUUACAGAUGGGCCCGCGGCGCAUUAGCUAGUUGGUGAGGUAACGGCUCACCAAGGCGACGAUGCGUAGCCGACCUGAGAGGGUGAUCGGCCACACUGGGACUGAGACACGGCCCAGACUCCUACGGGAGGCAGCAGUAGGGAAUCUUCCGCAAUGGACGAAAGUCUGACGGAGCAACGCCGCGUGAGUGAUGAAGGUUUUCGGAUCGUAAAACUCUGUUGUUAGGGAAGAACAAGUACCGUUCGAAUAGGGCGGUACCUUGACGGUACCUAACCAGAAAGCCACGGCUAACUACGUGCCAGCAGCCGCGGUAAUACGUAGGUGGCAAGCGUUGUCCGGAAUUAUUGGGCGUAAAGCGCGCGCAGGUGGUUUCUUAAGUCUGAUGUGAAAGCCCCCGGCUCAACCGGGGAGGGUCAUUGGAAACUGGGAGACUUGAGUGCAGAAGAGGAAAGUGGAAUUCCAAGUGUAGCGGUGAAAUGCGUAGAGAUUUGGAGGAACACCAGUGGCGAAGGCGACUUUCUGGUCUGUAACUGACACUGAGGCGCGAAAGCGUGGGGAGCGAACAGGAUUAGAUACCCUGGUAGUCCACGCCGUAAACGAUGAGUGCUAAGUGUUAGAGGGUUUCCGCCCUUUAGUGCUGCAGCAAACGCAUUAAGCACUCCGCCUGGGGAGUACGGCCGCAAGGCUGAAACUCAAAGGAAUUGACGGGGCCCGCACAAGCGGUGGAGCAUGUGGUUUAAUUCGAAGCAACGCGAAGAACCUUACCAGGUCUUGACAUCCUCUGACAAUCCUAGAGAUAGGACGUUCCCCUUCGGGGGACAGAGUGACAGGUGGUGCAUGGUUGUCGUCAGCUCGUGUCGUGAGAUGUUGGGUUAAGUCCCGCAACGAGCGCAACCCUUGAUCUUAGUUGCCAGCAUUCAGUUGGGCACUCUAAGGUGACUGCCGGUGACAAACCGGAGGAAGGUGGGGAUGACGUCAAAUCAUCAUGCCCCUUAUGACCUGGGCUACACACGUGCUACAAUGGAUGGUACAAAGGGCUGCAAGACCGCGAGGUUUAGCCAAUCCCAUAAAACCAUUCUCAGUUCGGAUUGCAGGCUGCAACUCGCCUGCAUGAAGCCGGAAUCGCUAGUAAUCGCGGAUCAGCAUGCCGCGGUGAAUACGUUCCCGGGCCUUGUACACACCGCCCGUCACACCACGAGAGUUUGUAACACCCGAAGUCGGUGGGGUAACCGCAAGGAGCCAGCCGCCUAAGGUGGGACAGAUGAUUGGGGUGAAGUCGUAACAAGGUAGCCGUAUCGGAAGGUGCGGCUGGAUCACCUCCUUU